rnacentral:rRNA from 1 species
GGUGAAGCGAUUUGUCAGGUUUAUUCCGGUAACGAGCGAGACUCUAGGCUCUAAUUGAAUAAGGGAUCUUUGGAUUUCUGUACUUUCUUAGAGGAAUUGGUGGUAAAGAACGGCAUGCAAUAGAGCAAUAACAGGUCUGUGAUGCCCUUCGAUGUCCGGGGCUGCACGCGUGCUACACUGGGGUCCUCAGCAGUUUCCUAUCUUAAUCAGACACAGGUAAACCGUUGCAAGGACCCCGUGUUCGGGUUAUGAAUUUGCUAUUAUUCUCCUCUAACGAGGAAUUCCUAUUAAGGACGAGUCAUUAUCUUGUUCUGAAUACGUCCCUGCCCUUUGUAC